UGGGCGAGUGGUCAAUGCGCCCCACUUGGUAUCCCCAAGGCCCUGGGUUCGAACCCGGCCUUU
rnacentral:tRNA from 14 species